UACAGGGGGUGCAAACGUUGCUCGGAAUUAUUGGGCGUAAAGCGCACGUAGGCGGUUUGUUAUGUCGGAUGUGAAAGCCCUUGGCUCAACUGAGGAAGUGCAUCCGAAACUGGCAAGCUAGAGUAUGUAAGAGGGUCGCGGAAUUCCCGGUGUAGAGGUGAAAUGCGUAGAUAUCGGGAGGAACACCUGUGGCGAAAGCGGCGCACUGGACCACAACUGACGCUGAGGCGCGAAAGCUAGGGGAGCAAACAGG
rnacentral:rRNA from 1 species